rnacentral:rRNA from 1 species
GACGAACGCUGGCGGCGUGCUUAACACAUGCAAGUCGAACGGAAAGGCCCUGCUUUUGUGGGGUGCUCGAGUGGCGAACGGGUGAGUAACACGUGAGUAACCUGCCCUUGACUUUGGGAUAACUUCAGGAAACUGGGGCUAAUACCGGAUAGGAGCUCCUGCUGCAUGGUGGGGGUUGGAAAGUUUCGGCGGUUGGGGAUGGACUCGCGGCUUAUCAGCUUGUUGGUGGGGUAGUGGCUUACCAAGGCUUUGACGGGUAGCCGGCCUGAGAGGGCGACCGGCCACAUUGGGACUGAGAUACGGCCCAGACUCCUACGGGAGGCAGCAGUGGGGAAUAUUGCACAAUGGGCGGAAGCCUGAUGCAGCAACGCCGCGUGCGGGAUGACGGCCUUCGGGUUGUAAACCGCUUUCACCUGUGACGAAGCGUGAGUGACGGUAAUGGGUAAAGAAGCACCGGCUAACUACGUG